rnacentral:rRNA from 1 species
CCCAAAGCGGAAAAGAAAAUAACUAUGAUUCCCUUAGUAACGGCGAGUGAACAGGGAAAAGCCCAAAUUUGUAAUCUGGCACUUUUUACAAGUGUCCGAGUUGUAAUUUGUAGAACUGUUAUCCGCGCUGGACCAUGUACAAGUCUGUUGAAAAGCAGCAUCAUUGAAGGUGAAAAUCCUGUAGAUGAUAUGGACUACCAGUGCAUUUGUGAUACGGUUUCUAAGAGUCGAGUUGUUUGGGAAUGCAGCUCAAAGUGGGUGGUAAAUUCCAUCUAAGGCUAAAUAUAAGUGAGAGACCGAUAGCAAACAAGUACCGUGAGGGAAAGAUGAAAAGAACUUUGAAAAUAGAGUUAACAGUACGUGAAAUUGCUGAAAGGGAAACGUUUGAAGUUAGUUUUGUAUUCGUUGGAUCAGCUUCGCAAGGAGUGUAUUCUGAUGAUAAGCAAGUCAACAUCAAUCUAUGAGUGUCGGAGAAGGGUUUUGAGAAUGUAGCAAUUUUUAUUAAUUGUGUUAUAGCUUGAGACUUGGAUACGAUGCUUUGGAUUGAGGAACGCGUAGUAAGCUUUGAGCGGAUUCGAAAGGAUCUCCUUACUAUGGAUGUUG